CUGAAAUGAUGAGAUUCCACUUCAUUGGUCCGUGUUUCUGAAACGCGUGAUAUAAUGGUGGAAGUUCUGAUUGG
rnacentral:snoRNA from 1 species